GGGGUGCUAGCUCAACGGCAGAGCUCCGGACUUUUAAUCCGUAGGUUCAGGGUUCGAAUCCCUGGCGCCCCACCC
rnacentral:tRNA from 1 species